rnacentral:rRNA from 1 species
ACGAACGCUGGCGGCGUGCUUAACACAUGCAAGUCGAACGGUGAAGCGCCUUCCUUUUUGGUGGGUGUGGAUGGGUGGCGAACGGGUGAGUAACACGUGAGUAACCUGCCCCCUUCUUCUGGAUAACCGCAUGAAAGUGUGGCUAAUACGGGAUAUUCUGGGUCUGUCGCAUGAUGGGUCUGGGAAAGAUAUUGUUUCGGUGGGGGAUGGGCUCGCGGCCUAUCAGCUUGUUGGUGGGGUGAUGGCCUACCAAGGCGGUGACGGGUAGCCGGCCUGAGAGGGUGGACGGUCACACUGGGACUGAGACACGGCCCAGACUCCUACGGGAGGCAGCAGUGGGGAAUAUUGCACAAUGGGCGCAAGCCUGAUGCAGCGACGCCGCGUGAGGGAUGGAGGCCUUCGGGUUGUGAACCUCUUUCGCCAGUGAAGCAGGCCUGCCUCGUUUGUGGGUGGGUUGACGGUAGCUGGAGAAGAAGCGCCGGCUAACUACGUG